rnacentral:tRNA from 1 species
UCCCGGGUGGCUUAGACGGUAAAGCGUCUGCCUUCAAUGCUGGAGACCCGGGUUCAGUCCCUGGGUUGGGAA